UCAUAAUCCGGGGCAUCUUGG
rnacentral:misc_RNA from 1 species